UAAAAGCAGGGCUCUAUACGCAAGUAAACGUCAAGACUCCACGUURUUACUCCGUGCAUCUUCCGCUCCUGCAACAAUAAAACCUUGUUAAUGUAAAUUAAUCGAUUCAGUCAACAGAAACGCGAGGGUGCUUUUACUCUGAAACGGGCACAGGAAGAAUUGAUUGCUUUAACCGGAAGACACGGCGCUGAGGUGAAGCGGCUCUCCGGCCAAUCCACACCAGUAACAUAGACAGCGAGGCCCGGGAGUAAACUGUGUCAUAUAUUUAGAAAAGCUAUUUCAGCGUUUACAGACUCAUUCAACUUUAUACGCCAACGUCACGUAAGUCUGCUCACAACCGGUAACCUGCCGUUCACCUGCUGUCGCACACGGUACCGAGGGGGGCGGAGGGCGGGACCGGCUCAAACCGGUCAGCACCAGGUUUGCACUCGGGACCGGAGUGAUGAAAAAGAUCGGCGCGAAGAGUUUUUUGCUGGACAAACUUCCCUACUGACCGAGAACCCCGCGACGAUACGUCUUCCACGCAAGUGUCUGAGUAAAGGAGCAGCACCUUCCUGUACACACUGGACAUUUUCAAAGGUCUUCCUAAUACAGAGUAAAUGGAUCCGAAUGCUGUCCUAAAACUAAGGGUCAUCCUAGAUGAUGUCAAC